CGCGGAGGAGGCGGAGCUGGAAGAAACUGCCGGAGGAAAUUGCUUUAUUUAUGGAGCUAGCAUUUGAACAGGCCUCGCACCCUCCCUGGGCUGUCACGCUCGCUGGAGGUUAGCCUCGUCUUGUAAAUACUUAGGAUUACAGGUCGCUCUUCUAGAAAUCCCCUUAGUGAUCCCUAAGCCUUUUUAAAGGGCUGUGUUUGUGAAUUGUCUCUGCCACUAGGGCAAAGGGGCGGUUUGGAAAAUUUGUUCCAACAAAAGUUAAGUUGUAGCUUACACUGGUUCUCUGCAGAGAAGCCAACAUAGAAAACACAAUUUUAAAAGAGGGAAGAGAAGAAAUGGAAGCAGAAGAUUAUGCUGGAGUAAUUAACACCAUGUGCAUGGCGAGGAAACGCCUCCCGGCAUUCAAUGAAGAUCGCUGAUACCCAGAAGACACCCCAGUAUUAUGGGUGCAGUUAGUGUGUCUUUGAAAAGCUGAUGAUGUCUUAGUCAUCACAGUGUAAAACAUCAAGAGUGUUCUAACAACAAUAAAAAAAUUCUAUCAUUGGCUUAAAACACCACAACACUUGAGUGGGGUGAGCUUCCUACCUCAGACCCAGAUGUUUCUA
rnacentral:lncRNA from 1 species